GCUCCACAGCAGGUCUCUUGCGAGGCGCUUCUUUAAGUGGAGCCUGCUCCUUUAAAUACACCCCUGUCGGAGGCGAAAUAGUUUAAAGCUUCCGGGCAUGCGCACAGCGCUGUGCCGAAGAAUGCCUCCUCCUGGAUGUGAGGCAUUGUUAUUUAAGAAUGGAAGAGGACACAGAUUUUAGAAUCAGGUUUAGUUCUUUGUGUUUCAUUACUGAUCAUGUUGGAUUUCAUGGCACCAUAAAAAGCUCACCAAGUGACUUUGUGGUUAUUGAGAUUGAUGAGCAGGGACAACUAGUUAAUAAAGCCAGUGAUGAACAUGUUAACAAGGUUCAUAAAGUACUACCUGAGCCAAAUGAUUUGGCUAAAAAACCAAAACUAGAUCUUCAAAAUGUAUCCUUUGAAGAGAGAAGCAAUCAAGAAGUCAAGACUUCAGCUGGGUGCUCGGAUGAUGACCAAAAUUAUGAGCCUGCUUCUGAAAAGGCAGAUACUAUCAAAGAUGGAAUUUUGAGAGGUGAAAAAGAACAUCUUGAUGUAUUCGGCUCCUUGUUAGAUGAAAAAACUAAUGAAUUACUGAAUCAGUAUGCUGGUGAUAUAAAAGAGAAGUGGAAUUCUAAAACUGAGCUAAUUGGACCAUCUCCUGAAUUCUCAUUAGGUAGAAUCCUUGACAAAAACCAGAGGGCUACCCUGCAUAGUGCUGUUAGGCAGAAAUUUCCUUUUUUAAUAACUGUAGGAAAAAACAGUGAAAUUGUUGUAAAACCAAAUCUUGAGUGUAAAGAACUCUGUCACUUGGUAUCUGAAGAAGAAGCAUUUGGCUUUUUUAAAUAUUUGGAUGCACGGAAAGAAAAUUCCAAAUUUACCUUUAAAUCUGAUACAGACAAAGAGCACAGAAAAGCUGUCCACCAUUUUGUCAACAAAAAAUUUGGAAAUCUUGUGGAAACCAAAUCUUUUCCUGAACUGAAUUACGGUGCUGAUAAUCCAAAUGUAGUGAUUACAGUAAGAUUUCGGGAAAAAGCACACAAACACAAGAAAAGGUCUCUGCAUGAAUGCCCAGAAAGAAAAGUUAUACACACAGCCUUUACCCUACGAAAAGAAAAUCUUGAAAUGUUUGAAGCGGUUGGUUUUUUAGCUAUCAAACUUGGAGUGAUUCCUUCGGAUUUUAGUUAUGCAGGACUUAAAGACAAGAAAGCCAUCACUUAUCAAGCAAUGGUUGUUAGAAAAGUGACACCAGAGAGGUUGAAAAAUAUUGAAAAAGAACUUGAAAAGAAAAGAAUGAAUAUACUUAACAUUCGGUCUGUGGAUGAUUCCCUUAGACUUGGUCAGCUCAAAGGAAAUCAUUUUGAUAUUGUCAUCAGAAAUUUAAAAAACCAAAUAAAUGAUUCCACAAACCUGAGAGAGAGAAUUUUGGAGGCUAUAGAAAAUGUGAAGAAUAAAGGGUUUGUGAAUUACUAUGGACCACAGAGAUUUGGGAUGGGAAGGAAAGUUCAUACAGACCAAAUUGGAUUGGCUUUGCUGAAGAGUGAAAUGGUGAAAGCUGUAAAAUUAUUUCUUACACCAGAAGAUUCGGAUGAUCCUGUAAAUAGAGCAAAGAAGUAUUUUCUUCAAACAGACGAUGCUAAGGGCACACUCUCACUGAUGCCUGAAUUCAAGGUGCGGGAGAGAGCAUUGCUGGAGUCCUUGCAUCGCUUUGGCAUGACAGAGGAGGGCUGUGUCCAGGCCUGGUUCUCUUUCCCCCAUUCUAUGCGUAUAUUCUAUGUUCAUGCUUAUAGCAGCAAAAUCUGGAAUGAGGCAGCAUCGUACAGACUUGCCACCUAUGGAUCCAGGGUAGUGGAGGGGGACUUGGUCUGUUUGGAGGAAGAUGUUGACGAUGAGCAUUUACCAAAUAGUAAAGUUCAUCUGGUAACUGAAGAAGAUCAAUCAGCUAAUACAUAUGCAAUACAUCAGGUGGUUCUUCCAGUGCUUGGAUACAAUAUUCAGUAUCCAAAGAACAAAGUAGGGCAGUGGUACCAGGAGGUACUCAAAAGAGAUGGACUACAAACCUGUAGAUUUAAAAUACCUCCUCUGAAACUGAAUGUUCCGGGAUGCUAUAGAAAGAUUUUGAAACAUCCCCAUAAUCUCUCAUACCAACUAAUAGAAGAUGCUGAUAUUGAUGUCAAAAAGGACGGUUCUCACAUCGACGAAGCAACUUUAUCUCUUUUGAUCUCUUUUGAUCUUGAUGCUUCCUGUUAUGCCACAGUCUGUCUGAGGGAAAUAAUGAAGCAUGACUUUUAAAACCGAUACCCUUGAUAUAAACGGGUAUGUGCCAUUUUUUAAAGGAAAGGGAGUUAAAAUUUCUUGAGCAUCUACCAUGUACUAGGAACUUUAUAAUCGUUGCCUCCUUUGAUUACAUGGCAUCCUGAUGAAGUAGAAUUUGAUAUUAAACCUUCCAAAGGAUGUACACCUAUUUAAAGGCUUGAGUAGACUUUGGACCAAAUGAUGAUCAGUCACCUAGGUUUUUGCAGUUUUUCUGGAGCAUUUCAGGCUUUCAGAAGAAGAGUAUUUGGAUUAGUUUUAAUUUUCAACAUUGCAUUUGACACUGAGCAGUAGUGCCUCAGGAUUACUAAGGUAAAACAAAUUGAGGUCUUUUUAUUAAGAUAAAAACAGUUGGGUUUUUGUAAGUUGUAAUAAACUGAAGUCAUAUACAACUUGUGAUCCAA